AUAUAGCCAUGCCAGCCAUGCCUAUGUUUAUAGCAGACACAAGACAUCUGCCAUUCUCCAAACAAGCUCAGGCUGGAGAAGUGAAUGGUGAGACACCCUGUGGAGAGAGAGAGAGAGUGUUGCAGAUGACCACUGAGGCAUCUGCCAUGUAAGCAGACUCGACUUUCCAGGCCUGCACAAUCACCACCAGAAUGCAGCCACCUAAAAGACCACAUCCAGUGACUCACGGGCACAAGAACUGCCCAUCUGAGACCUGCCUGAAUUCCUGACCUACAAAAUUUUAAGAAAAAUAAAUGGUCU
rnacentral:lncRNA from 10 species